GCCCCCGUGGCGCAAUCGGUAGCGCGCACGACUCUUAACAUCGUGCGGUUGCGGGUUCGAGCCCCGCCGGAGGCU
rnacentral:tRNA from 1 species